GAAUAUUGGACAAUGGGCGCAAGCCUGAUCCAGCCAUGCCGCGUGAGUGAAGGCCUUCGGGUUGUAAACCUCUUUCGUCCGGGAAGAUAAUGACGGUACCCGUAGAAUAAGCCCCGGCUAACUCUCGUG
rnacentral:rRNA from 1 species